GAAACUUAAAGGAAUUGGCGGGGGAGCACCACCAGGCGUGAAGCCUGCGGUUUAAUUGGAGUCAACGCCGGGAACCUUACCGGGAGCGACAGCAGAGUGAAGGCCAGGCUGAAGACCUUGCCAGACAAGCUGAGAGGAGGUGCAUGGCCGUCGCCAGUUCGUGCCGUGAGGUGUUCUCUUAAGUGAGAUAACGAACGAGACCCGUGCCACAUGUUGCCAUCAGAUCCUAUAGGGAUGCUGGGCACUUUUGUGGGACCGCAGCCGAUAAGGCUGAGGAAGGUGCGGGCAACGGCAGGUCAGUAUGCCCCGAAUCUCCCGGGCCACACGCGGGCUGCAAUGGUACGGACAGAGGGCUGCAACCCCGAAAGGGGAAGCCAAUCCCUAAACCGUAUCUCAGUUGGGAUUGAGGGCUGCAACCCGCCCUCAUGAACAUGGAAUGCCUAGUAACCGCACGUCAUCAUCGUGCAGUGAAUACGUCCCUGCUCCUUGCACACACUGCCCGUCGAACCACCCGAAUGUCGUUUUGAUGAGGCAUGGUCGAAAGUUGGCCGUGUCGAAUCUGGGCAACGUAAGGAGGGUUAAGUCGUAACAA
rnacentral:rRNA from 1 species